UACGGAGGGUGCAAGCGUUAUCCGGAUUCACUGGGUUUAAAGGGUGCGUAGGUGGGUAGGCAAGUCAGUGGUGAAAUCUUCGGGCUUAACCCGGAAACUGCCAUUGAUACUAUUUAUCUUGAAUACUUUGGAGGUAAGCGGAAUAUGUCAUGUAGCGGUGAAAUGCUUAGAUAUGACAUAGAACACCAAUUGCGAAGGCAGCUUACUACACAGUUAUUGACACUGAGGCACGAAGGCGUGGGGAUCAAACAGG
rnacentral:rRNA from 1 species